CCUACGGGGGGCAGCAGUGGGGAAUAUUGCACAAUGGGCGAAAGCCUGAUGCAGCGACGCCGCGUGAGCGAAGAAGGCCUUCGGGUCGUAAAGCUCUGUCCUAAGGGAAGAAAAGGACGGUACCUUAGGAGGAAGCCCCGGCUAACUACGUGCCAGCAGCCGCGGUAAUACGUAGGGGGCGAGCGUUAUCCGGAAUUACUGGGCGUAAAGGGUGCGUAGGCGGCCUUUUAAGUCAGAUGUGAAAGGCUACGGCUUAAACGUAGUUAGCAUUUGAAACUAGAAGGCUUGAGUGCAGGAGAGGGGAAUGGAAAUCCCUGUGUAGGGGUGAAAUGCGGAAAUAUUAGGAGGAACCCCAGGGGCGGAGGCGGCUCUCUCGACUGCAACUGAACCUGAAGGCCGAAAGGGUGGGGAGCGAACAGGAUUAGAUACCCCUGUAGUC
rnacentral:rRNA from 1 species